rnacentral:lncRNA from 1 species
AGUAUCCGAAUUUAGGAUGGUGGAAUGGAGGAUGCUUGAGGAGUGGAGGGCAGGGUUUCUUGUAGAAUGGUGGGAGUGGUUUAUAAAUUGGAAUUGGUGGUGGAAGUGGCUUUACUAUUGGAGGGAUGUAAAUUGGUGGCUUUGGCUUGUAGAGUGGAACUGGUGGUGGAAGUGGCUUUACUAUUGGAGGGAUGUAAAUUGGCGGCUUUGGCUUGUAGAGUGGAACUGGUGGUGGAAGUGGCUUUACCACCGGAGGUUUGUAAAUUGGUGGCUUUGGCUUUGGUUUGUAGAUUGGAACUGGUGGUGGAAGUGGCUUUACCACCGGAGGUUUGUAAAUUGGUGGCUUUGGCUUUGGUUUGUAAAUUGUAACUGGUGGUGGAAGUGGCUUUACCAUCGGAGGUUUGUAACCUGCUGGCUUUGGCUUGUAGAUUGGAACAGUUGGCUUUGGUUUGUAGAUUGGAACAGGUGGUGGAAGUGGCUUUACCAUCGGAGGUUUGUAAACUGGUGGCUUUGGCUUUGGUUUGUAGAUUGGAACAGGUGGUGGAAGUGGCUUUACCACCGGAGGUUUGUAAAUUGGUGGCUUUGGCUUUGGUUUGUAGAUUGGAAUUGGAGGUGGAAGUGGCUUUACUGGAGGCUUCGGCUUGUAAAUGGGGACGGGAUGAGGAAGUGGCUUCGGCUUGUAAAUGGGGACAGGGUGAGGAUGUGGCUUUGGCUUGUAAAUAGGGACAGGAUGAGGAUGUGGCUUUGGCUUGUAAAUAGGGACAGGAUGAGGAUGUGGCUUUGGCAUGUAAAUGGGCACAGGUGGAGGAAGUGGUUUUGUGUAAACUGGUGGGAAUGGAGGAAGAGGCCAUGGGUGUCCGAAGUUUUUCAAUGGUGGAAAGUAAACCUUAGGGAAGUGUUUCUUCCAUGGAUGAAUUUUGGGAGAGGGUGGAUACUUAAAGAAUGGCCACAAGAAUGCAGAAGUGCACAAUGCAGUGGAGAAUUUGAGAUUUCUAUUAGGGCUGAAUGUGUGUUUUCCAUUGGUUAUCGACUUUAGGACAACCUUAGAGUCCUCGAGGCCAUUGUGAGCUGGACACGGUGCUGCCGAUGCGCUAUGAAGCUGUGCAUAACAUUCCUCUUUGAGUUUUCCUUCUUGAACAAUCUCCUCAGGAAGUGAAACCUUGAAUUUUCCUUCUUUAUCAAGCUCUCCAACUCCCACUCUUUUUAUUUCUCCAUUUUGAAGCUUGCAAUCAAUGGUUACGCUAAGCCCUGUAAAAAAUGAUUGCUUAUUGGUGAAGUGUAAAGAUGAAAAGCUACGUGGUUGUGUUAUACAGGAUUCCAAAGAGGAAUAGCAUUUGUGUAUGGUGGUCUGCAUAUAAACACUGUUUUAUCAAGAAUACACCAUGGCUUGUUGGUAAAUGGAUACGAUAGCACUGGACAAUAUUGUAUGAUACCAUCAAUUUUGUCAUCUGUAUCAAUAGAUAAUCAUACAACUAAAAGUACAUAAAAAGAUUGUAUAGUACCUGAAACAGCCUGACUCGUUUUAAUGUUAUUCUCUUUGCAGUCAGCACAUUCUCCCACCCCCACAACUUCUAUAGUCUUCUCAUCCCCACGGCAGAAGCUUGCUGCGAAUAACAAGUACACGAAGAAGCCCAGAAUGGCCCCUCGGCAAAGCGGAUGAACCCACAUUGGGACCUUCUUCUAAGGCCGAGCCUCGAAGACAAUAGAGAGGGAGAAGAGAAGAGAAAUGGCCCAAGAAUUAAGGGCAAGCCCCAGUGUACAGAAGCUUUUUUGGUGAGUGUUUAGUGUCAGAAAUGUUUGUUAUAUAUAAUAAUUUAAGCAAGCGAUUUUGUGAUGGUCACACCGACAGUGAACUUAAUGUCAUCACAUGAGGUUAGGUUCCAUUGAUCUUGACUACAAAGCCCAUCAUUUAGAAUGAAAAAAAUUAGCUGGAAAAUGGGAGUAUCAAAGGCCAUUAUUUUCAUUGAAUUAAUGGGGUUUCAACUGCACAAUUGUCUUUUUUCCAUCCAUAAAUCUGCUUGCCAACCCACGUUAUGAAAUUAUUGUCAAACCACUUCGUCUAUAUGUUUACAUGCCAUUUCACAUGCAAGUCAGAUUCAUUUUCUCAUUAAAGGUGUGAAUUGAGCACAAUUUCAUAAAACUGGUGGUGAUGGUUAAAAUUGAAUAUGUUCUAAAGAGUGCGUUGAAUCAUUUCCUGAAAUGAAAAUGAAUUUAUGGAAAUCUCAUGUUGUUAUACUACUUUUUAAUUGAGUUCUUCUAUCAAUCCCACAGUUGGGAAGCAGAAAAGAUAAAUAUCAACUUUCCUUGAAAUUUCGUUAUUUUCCAAAACUAUAGUUCUUUGCCAGUUAAUGGUAGUUGGUACCAUUAAUGUAGAACGCCAUAUAUGUGUAUGUGUAUAUAAUUGGUUUAUAAUUAUAUUGUACACACACGCUAAAAAUUUUUGUUGAAGAAAAUAAAAUAAAACAAAUAAAUUUUUUUUUUCUCGUGCCAUUAUAGAUAUUUAAUUUAAACAUGGUGUCGAGAUAGAAAAAACUUGACUUUAAAUUUAACUACAAAAAUUAAUUUUUAUUCUAUUAUAAGUUCUAUUACUUAAUUGAAGUCUGAAGAUGUUGAGGCCGUGGCUCUUUGCGAGGUACUUGCCGUGGCCAAAAAACUUGGUUUUACGUGUUGAUAUUCAUAAUGUAAUUCUCUCCAUGUCGUUUGCCCUUGGAUUUUCUUUAUCCUCCAAAGAGCUCAUUUUGUUUGACGUAGUUGCUUUAUUGCGAUAUAUCAGCUACUACUUUUGUAAUUGUAUUCAUUGAGAUUUUAAUAAGGUGACCUAUGAGCUUGUGUCGUUUGCUUAUUUACAUGAAGAUUCAUAUUGUUGUGUCUGAUUAUAUUCUAACUUUUCUUUCUUCUGUUGUUCGCGACGAUAUGUAAUAAUGAAUUUUCACGAACAAAUGAAUUUUACUUACAAAUUGAAAGUAUAUAUAUAUACAUUUUUUUAUGCGCGUAUAACUGAGUAUUUAUGAAUGCAAUUGAUUGGAUUGGAUUGUUUAUUUAUCUUGCGUUUGGUUGCACCAAACCAAGUUCAUGAAUUAAUAUGUCAACUAGGAAUUAGGGUUGAAUUAGAAGCACCAAAAUUUGCAUGUGCAUUCACUCGAAUUGGGAGGUUGGAAAGUUGAAAAAGAUACUCCAACUAAUUAUGUAUGCAUUGCUUAAAUACUUUACCAUAGUGGUGGAAAAUUGCAUUUACUACUUGCUUUCUUUUAUUGGAGUUGGUAAUGUGUACGAGGAUUUUAGGGUUGAUAUAACUUUUAUACUAAUCAUCAGUCUACAACAAACUUAAUUCUUAGUUCGACCUUUUAAGAGGCUAUGGAAAGCAGAGACGAAGUUGUUGAACCUUGUACAACAAUGUAUUUACUAAGAUUUGAUAAUUAUGUUGACAAUACGAGUUUUUAGCAAGAUAAUGACGUUCCAAGAUUUCUUUGAAAUUGUUGACAUUCUAAGUUAUCAUUAAUUUCUAAUGAUAAUCAUAAUCAUUAUCUUCUCCAACCAUACAAAAACAAAUUAAAAUUCAUAUUCUAUAAAAUAGUGAGUUAAAUAUGCUAAAAAGCUAUGCAAAACUUCGAAAAAUUCUAGGGUCAUAAUAAAAUAAACGACUUUGUAAUCAUGAAUUAUUUUUGUAUAUAUGUUUUUAAAAAAAGAAUGUGUAUAUAUGACGUUUAGGUUUAAAUACUGCAACAUCUUUUGCAAGGAGACGUUCCUUCUCCCGAAGUUAUGGGAUUAAUUUGUCGAGGUCUUUGGUUCAACACGUCAUUUUUUGUAUUUUCAAAUAUUGGGUGGAGCCAUUCUUUUUGGCAAAAAAAAAUGUGGAUAAUAUUUCUCCAUCCAACUACAUUCCUUAAGGACUUCAAAAAAUAUUUUUAAGAUUUGGUUUUUGGUUGUAAAUUGCCAUUAUAUUGAAGGGACCAACAUAUGUAUGAAUAUCACAUUAUUGAUGUGAUUUAUAGCCUCUUAAAAGCCUCAUGUGCCUCAACUCGAUCCAAAAAUAAUUGUGUAUAUAUAUUCAUAUACACAAGUAUGAUGGCAAAAAAAUAUUAAUGUAAAUAUAUACUCAUUUCACAAGUUUCUUUAUUGUGUUAUCAAAUUAAUAACUAAAAUACUCAAAUUCUAUUGCACAUUUUAGUAUAAUAACAAAAUAACGCGAUUGGACUUAAACUUAAAAAAAAAAAAAAAUUCAAUUAAAAAAUUAUUUUUAAACAAGGAGAGGCCUUCAUAUUUGAAUUUAAUUGCAAUAAAUAAACACGAAGGAUAAAGCAAGACAUGUUGAGCUGGAGAGUGUGGAAGGUCCGAUUUAAAGGAUUAAUAUUAUUUUAAAAGUUAAAUAUAGCUAUAAAUGAUGCGCUGUUGCCAGAUACAGAUAGCAAAGUAAUUUAUCGUUGCAAUGAAUGAAUUUAAUUUAAUUUUGUUGCCCAUGCCAAUUGAAUUUCAAUUAUUUUUCCAGACUGGGCGAUGUCGAGGAUGUGAAAUAUUUCAAUGUGACGAUCCUCUAUGUACUCAUAAUAAGAUCACUUAUUCAAAUCAAAACACUUCAAGUCGAAUCAAUCGAAUCACAACACUUCCAAUGUCAAGAGGAUAAGAGAGUAAUAGGCUAAGUGAACGGACAUAAGACCAUCUCAACAUUCAAUGUAUCAUGAUUUGAAUGAUUCAGAUUUUAGCAUAUCCUAAUUUAAAUAUAUGAUCAUAUCACAUGUACAUAACUGAUGACUUUGUUUUACUCACGAAUUUUGCACAAUUUUAACUUGAUUAUUUGUUAGAUCUUGUGAGUAUAGAACAUUUUUGAUGUGUUAGUUUUGUUUUGAAGAUUAGGAAAUGUGAUGCAAAAAGAGGUACUAAAGCGAACGAAGAGGCCAAAAAUAAAGAAAUUGAAGUAGAAAGACAACGCCUAAGCGCUGCAUUCGUUGCGUCCAGGCGCUACGAGGUAAAAAAACAAAGAAUUUAACUCGAGAGGCAGCGCCUAGGUGCUACAUUUAUAGCGCCCAAGCACUGUCAUCAGAGCUUAGGCGCUACAUGUAAUUUUGUCACUGUGCUGACUCCUAGUGCUUAGGCUUGCCCCGAGAUUGUCUAGGGCGGGUUUUUGGCCCAUUUUGAAACCCAUAAAAAUCCUACUUUUUAUACAAACGGAGGGGCACAUAUAAAUACAAAUUUCUCACACUUUUGAAGGGAGAUUCUACACAUUGAGAGGCAAGAAACACAUCUUGAAAUUAAAGAGAGCAAAUUCAAGAGGAGAAAAACAACAAUUCAAGGGUUUAAAACCAAAAUUUGGAACAAGAAGAAGAACUUGGUGCAAAAUUUAUCCACUCCUCCACAUCUAAAUUCAAAACCCGGUGAUGAACUCCACUAUUUUUAUUUAUUUUUUUUCUCUAUUAUGAAUAGCUAAAUCUAUUGUUGGGGCGAAUAAUAUAACCUACUUGGGACCCUUUACAUAAUUUAUUUAAGAUUCUUGUUCUUUAUUCUUUCAAGUGUUGAUUUUGCUAUGAAGUGAAUGCAUUAAAUUACUUGAUCAAUAAUUUGAUGAUUUCGUGAAUCUUUUAUGAAUAGAGAUAUGAGUUUAGGACUUAGACUAUAUAGCAAAAUUCGGUAAAUUGGUAUAACGAGUAGAAAUACCUAUUGUUCACCUCAAAAAAUGUAGCCAACAGAUGCUGGACCCACCCGCGCACACGUGAGCGAAAGUCCAAUACACUAAGACACGUGGACGGUCUAAAACGGAAAGAUCAAAGGCGUGGGAGUAGCUCAACGCGCAUGGGGACAAGAGCAUUCGAAAUUCGACGGGAUUGUUCGUGGACCGAUUGUACAAUAAUUACCAAUCGGUGUUUGUGAAUAUGUAUGUAAAUAUGCUUAAAUUCGUAUUGUGUUGCAAGAUAAUGAAAAAGAGAGAGUAAAAUGUGGUUUCUUGUAUUGAUUCUUGCAUUAGCCUUUCUAUGGGGUACAUGUGGGAGUAUUUAUAGUGGUACAUGUGGAAUGGUAGCCCUUGGAUGAGGUGGCACGUGACCUCAUCUCUUUAGCUUAAACGUCUAAUCAUAGGCAUCAUCCUUGACUAGCUAGUUUGCUACGCAUUUAUUGCCUAUGCAGACUCCCAUACUAGUGAUAAGACUUAAUAUUUAUAUUUAUGACAAACGUCCUAUCAAUCAUUCAAGUAAGAUCUUUAUGUAGAAGAUCUUUUAGGAGAAGUGAUCAUGGAAGAUAUUCCUUUAUGGUUCAGAGGCUUCUGCUUCGGCUUCAGGGCUUCGGCUACUUUCACAUGGCCUCGGUAUAUGGGCCUCGAAAGCUUCAGAAGAGGCUAAUAUAUAUGGGCCUCGACAUAUAUUGGCAUAGGCAUCUGUCGACCUCGGUUGGAGGACCUCGUCUAUGCAAAUCACCUCGGCUUUAGUGCACGUGGUUCAGCAUGAGUUGGCUGUGGGCUCCGAUGGGUUGCCUAAGUGUGCAAACACGUAACACCUAUACCAACUAUUGCGGUCAUAAUUGAAUUCCUAGGACAAAGAACUCGUUUAACUAAAUUAGAUUCGUAUAGAGAUAUGGAAUUUAAUCAGUUAAAUAGGCUCAAUAAAAACUCGAGAAGGGUAAGUUGAGUACAAUAGAAGAAUUCAACCGAACACUGCAUGAGAUGUGAAUUUUAAUUUAAGAUAUAAAGGUGUUCAAUAGGAAAAAUUAUUCUGCCCUAACGUACGUUCAUUAUUUAGUCUCUAAAUCACACUUUGCGUGCAUCCACACAUAUUUUCAAAUAGUUUUAUCAAAAAUCACAACAUCUAAUUCUUUAGUUAUUUUCAAUCAAAUUAAAGUUAGGGAUAAUUGAACCAAUUAUUAAAUAGUAGUCCUCAUGAGAUCGACAAUUCAGACUUUUCUGUCUACUUUACUACUUGUUACGAUCCGCAUACUUGCAGGAUAUAAAAUCAACAACAAUAACCAUUCACUAAAGUAUUUGUCUAGCAUGAUUUGGAAUAGAUAUCUUUGCAUGCUCACCUUGCACGAACCAUGGAUUGUACCAAUUAACAUUGAUAAUAUGUCCAAGCACAUUAUUUCACACCCCUAUGUGACAAUAGAGUUGAUCUAUAUGUUGGAAAAAAUGGAUAAUUUAUAUGUAGAUAAAUAAAUGACAUAAACAUUGUCAUACACAUACUUAUGGCCUAAUUUUAUUAAUUUAGGUGUGGCCUAUUAUAAAAAAUAAAAAAUAAAAAAAAUAAAUAGACACGAUUAAUAUUUUUACCCGAUCAAUCACAUGGAAGUCCAUUAUGUGAAAUUAUAACUCAGCUUUUUUGUUUUAUUUUUCUUUUUGGGCUUAAACACAAAUUGUUAAACUUUUAUAUAAUUUUUAUUUAAAUAAUGGUGAUAAUAGAUAAAAAUCAAAUUUUUACUAAGAUAAUACUUUAAUUUAUUUAUAUAUUAUUUAAUACUAAAAUAUAAUUGAGAUAAUGUUUCAAUGUGAAUUCUUUCAAUCAAAAUUGAAAUAUCAAAUCAUAAAGAUAAUAUUUUGAUUUUAUCUAUACUUUGUUUAAUUUUAGAAAUUAUGAAGAUACCGUUCUUUUUUUAAUUUUUUAAUUUUAAAUUCAUUAUCUUAUCCUAUUAGUUGAAAUAUGGUUGAGAUAAUGAUAAGAUUUUAUUACUUUUAAGGUUCGAAAUUGAAUUGAAUUAGAACUCUCAAGGAAUGAUGGCCCCUAUAAAUAGACAUCAUAUGUCCCAUUUUCAAGUACAUUCAUUUCUCUUUGAAAUAUAUUCAAAUACAGAUAUAGUCUAUUCUUCGGUACGUGGGUUAAGAGUUGAAGUCCCAAACAUUCUAGUAUUUCACUUAUCGUUUUCAUAAUUUAUGGUAAGUGUAUAACUAUUUUCUUUUAUGGGAUUAUAUGCAUACGUUAAAUCUUUGGAACAUUGAAUAUGAAGUCCUUUAUGUAUGUUCUAAGUUUGGAUUGAACUAUAUUUGCAAUAUGCAUAAAAGUUGCAUACCACCGAUGUUCGAUGUAGAUUUUCAUGUCUCACUAUGUAUGUAUGUAUAAAGUUAUUCAAAUUCCGUACAAAUAUUAAUUCAUGUAUUUAUAUGCUUAUUGAGAUUUUGUCUCACACCUCCAUUUAUCCCCUUUCAGAAAAUUGAUGGCUUAUGACAAUUAAGGCAUGAGAGGGCUGGCAAAUUGGCAAGUGAAAGAAACCCACCAAACUUAUUUUUUAUUUAAAAACUUAUUUAAUUGUUGGUUUGACAUUAAGAAUGUUAAACUUCUAGUAUUAUAUUUUUAUGUUAACAUAGAAAUUUUAUAUAUUCAACCAUACAAUUUCAUGAUAUUAUUUAAAUAAAUUUCAAUUUUUUGAAAGUGCAAUAUGAUGUUCAAGAUACAAUUUUAGUGGCACUCGAACUUAGAACUCAGGUCGUCAUAGUUGGUAUCAGAGCACGAGUUUUAAUCGGUUCUGUAGACUUUGUAAAUCAAUUUUUUUUAAAAACGAUUAAUACUAUCUUUUCUUUAAAAGAAAAAAAAGGAAAAAAAUGCACGUGAACAAUGUACAAUUAUUAAAUAUAUAAAUUUGUCCAUUUUCUUUUUAAAAAAAAUGCAUUGGGUAAUAAAUUGGGCUUUUAUUAAAAGGUUUUUAGUAUGAGUUUAGAUAGAUUAAGUGUUAUUACUUCAAUGGACCAAGUUUAUUUUUAGAAUCAAUAGGUGCAAAAAUAAUAAUUUUUAGGAAUCAAGUUAUUAUUCUUGAAAUAAGAAUUAAAUGAUUUCAAGUCAUUGUUUCGCUAUGCCAUUCUCCAUGUCUUGAAUGCUCGAACCAAGUAUUAUAAUUAUAUAUUUAUUUGUCUUUAGGAAAUGCCAUGUUAUUUAUGAAAUAUUAUGUUUACUUACAUGAAGCAUGAAUUUUUAUUUAAUAUAUAUAUANNNNNNNNNNNNNNNNNNNNNNNNNNNNNNNNNNNNNNNNNNNNNNNNNNNNNNNNNNNNNNNNNNNNNNNNNNNNNNNNUAUAUAUAUAUAUAUAAUGCAAUUUUAUAAAUAUAUGCUAAAUAUGAAAAUAACAUUAGAAUGAUUAUAAUUUCAAAAAACAAAAAAGAAAAAGAAAAAAGAAAAAAUAAAAAAGUCUUUUAAGUAGGAUGUGAUUAUUAAGAAUUACCCAAUAGAGAAUCUUACACUUGCCUCUACAUAUUGUUUGAGAUUUUUUUUUUCAUUUUUAUUUUUUUUUUGUUUUGUUUAUGAAUUUGUGUUCGCAAAAAUAAAAGGUUUUGUCAAAAAGACCUAAACUGUCUAAGGCGAGUUUGGAAUUUUAAUAGUCGAUUGUGAUCCCCUCACCUGGAAGCCUUUUAGUUGCGCGUUAUACAAAUCAAUAAACGAAAGCAACAUUAUUAAGGACAAACCCACUUUAGAUUCAGGAAAGUGAAAACUUACUUUUGGGGAAAUUCUAGAUCAAGAAAGCCCUAUUUUCAGAAAUUUUCAGUUAAAUCGUGGUUCUGAUUAGUUCCAUUUUUGCCUUUCGUAGAUGACUAGAGGACCCAGUCAACUAAGAGAGAGAAAAUCAGGAGAAAAAAUCGUCCAAAGUUUCUACACUUCCUUAGGACUUAUAAACGGGACCUAACCCACAAUCUGAUAAAACAUUUGGGUGCCAUAGAGAUGAUCUAUUGAAAGGUGAGGUUGAAUGGACAUGAGUUUCAUAGGGUUGAUGUCAUUUUUCACUUGCUUAAGACCCUUAAAAAUUAUUGGAAAGAUUUUGUUGAAUGGAUUGAUGUAAUGUUCGGUCGUCAGAUAUCUUCCUAACUACUAAUUGCCAAUCUUAGAGAGAGGUAGGCCAUUAAUUGUGAAGAUUACGAUGAUAUGGAGAGGCGUGAGGGGUAUGAGCUUGAUCAUCGUCGUCGCUUGUGUGACUCACCUCCUUACAUUGAUCAUUCAUAAAUAAUAGAGGUUUAUAGAUUACAUCCCGAUGUCUUUAAUAAAAGAAGAAGACAUUGAAGAAAAUCAAGAAGAGAGUGCUGGAAGUAAUUAUUAGACUAUAGUCAUUAAUGUUAUGAAUUUUGCUUUUAAGUAUAAGAUUUUCCGUUUUAUAUGGACGCUUGGUAUGCUUUGUAAUCCCUUUUCAUAUACAAAUUUUUAAGAACUUAUAAAUAGAAUAUGUUAUUACUCUCUUCUCGUUUAGUCUUUAAUUUCCUUAAUUGUGUUUUGCUCAAGGAUAUGACACCCCGACGUAGAAGAACAAACAAUAGAAAUGAACAAUCCCAACAACAUCAACCUAUUGCGAUCAAUCCAUAGCUUGCCUAGUAAUUUCUGCCCAUGAUGUAAACUCUCACUCGAACUAUAGUGCCGACACCACAACCUCCUCAGCAGCCGACGCCACCACCUGUGCCACCAUAACCUUCGUCGACUCAAGAAGUAGUAGUAGACACUAAAACCACUGCCAUGGUUGUAGAGCAAUUCAGGAAACAUCCUCCGACUUUAGGGACAACACAAACCUUUUGGAAGCAGAAGAUUGGUUGGUAAGCAUAGAAAGAAUCCUUGAACUUAUUGACUGUCUGGAUCCCAGAAAGGUUAUAUGUGCAACAUUUAUGCUGCAUGAAGGUGCUAGAUGCUGGUAGGAGUCCACCGCGAGGUCAAGGAUUUUCGAUUACGUUUAGACGUGGAACGAGCUUAAGGAAUCCUUUAUGAAGAAGUAUUACCCUAUGAAUGUUCAAAAUUGAAAGGAAAUAGAGUUUCUCACAUUGACACAAGGCUCAAUGUCAUUAUCUGAAUAUAAGCAUAAGUUUGAAGACUUAUCUCAUUAUGUCCUCACUUUUGUGGACAAGGAGGAGAAGAAGGGAAGACGUUUCGAACAAGGUUUGAGGGAUGAUCUGAGGCAUGCUGUGGUAGUACUUGAACUGGGAAUUUACCAUGAGAUGCUAGCAAAAGCAUAGCUGGUAGGUUUCAGAGGGAUGUGCUAGUGGAGAGAAUAAGCAGUAGUAUGGACAGUUGGAGAAACGAAAUGGGGUAGAUAAUAAGGGCAAAGUAAAUAAGAACAUUUCAAAUAAAGAUAAAAGCGAUCCUUCUCAAGUUGGCAAUAAGAGCUUUCACUUUGUGGUAAGUGCCAGAAACACCAUUAGGGAGCUUGUAUUUUGGGAACGAACAUAUGUUUUCAAUGUGGAGAACGAGAACACAUAGCCAUGUUUUGCUCUAAGAACAAACAACUUGGGAACAGAGGUAAGGAUCUUUGCAAUGACGGAGCUGGAAGAGGAUCAAGAUCGAAAUGUUUUGGUAGGUAAUAUCCUCAUAUCUGACUUAUUAACCUAUGUAUUAAUAUAUUAUGGCACAACUCUUUCCUUUAUAUACCUUAAGUUCAUACAUAAACUGGGUGUAAUGGUUGAAUUUACACAUUUUCCCUUAGUAGUAUCUAUUCCCUCGGGGAAUAUGUUGAAUGUUGAUCAUGUUGUUAAAAUGGCAAUGAUAGAAAUUGAUGAUAGAUCAUUGGAAAUGGAGUUGUAUGUGAUAGAUAUGAAUGGAUUUUAUGUGAUUCUCGAGAUGGAGUGGCUAUCCAAGAAUCACGCGAAAAUUCUUACUUUGAGAAAAAAGUGGUCUUUCUAAUACUAGGAGAAGAGAAAAUUUGUUUAUCUAUAACAAGGGAUAAACCCAUAUCCCACGUCAUUUCUGCUAUGAAAUCACAAUGGAUCUUACAAUCGAAAGAUAGUGUAGGAAUAUAUAUGUCAGUGAUAGGAAAUGAGGAAAACAACGAGUUGACAGUUAAUGAUAUUAGAUGGUAAGGGAAUAUCCAUAAGCUUUUUUCUGAAGAAUUGCCUUGCAUGCCACCAAGACAGGAGGUAGAGUUCACAAUCAAUAUUACUCCUGACUCUACACCCAUAUCUAAGGCUCUUUAUAGGAUGGCACCGAAGGAGUUGAAGGAACUAAAAGUACAGAUAGAAGAAUUAUUAGAAAAAGAAUUUAUUUGGCCUAGUGUUUCACCAUAGGGAGCGCCAGUGCUGUUUGUUAAGAAGAAUGAUGGCUAAAUGAGAAUGUGCAUAGAUUGUUGGAAAUUGAAGAAAAUCACCAUAAAAAAUAAGUAUCCUCUCCCCAAGAUAGAGGACUUGCUAGAUCAACUUCAGGGACAGUGGUGUUUUCCAACAUUGACUUGAGAUCUGGUUACCAUCAAUUAAGAAUCAAUGCGGAUGACAUCUUGAAGAUAGCAUUUAGAACUCAGUAUGGACAUUAUGAAUUUUUAGUUAUGCCAUUUGAUUUAACUAACAAUUCGAGAGUCUUUAUGGAUUUGAUAAAUCAUGUCUUCCACUAGUGUCUUUAUUGGUUUGUUAUUGUGUUCAUCGAUGAUAUCCUGAAAGUAAAGAGGAGCAUGAAGAGACUUAAGGAUAGUACUAAGAGUCCUACAGAAGGAGACUUUAUGGAAAGUUCAAGAAAUGUGAGUUUUUGUUGGAAUGGAUGGCAUUCCUUGGACAUGUUGUCACAGCUGGAUGCAUAGACAUUGAUCUAAGCAAAGCGAAGAUAGUGUUAAAUGGUUGAUGCCAAGGAAUAUAAGAGAAAUUCAUAGAUUUUUGGGCUUGACAGGAUACUGUAGAAGGUUUAUUGAAGGAUUCUCCAAGAUGGUAGGACCAUUAACUCAAGUAACACAUAAGGGUGCAAGUUUGAUUGGGUAGAGAAAUGUGAGGAGAGUUUUGAGGAACAGAAACAGAAACUAGUAAAUGCUCUAGUAUUAGCUAUACCUGAAGGAUCAAAGGGUUUUGUCAUUUACAAUGAUGCCUCUAAGUAGGGAAUAUGAUGUGUCUUAAUGCAGUAAGGUAAAGUGGUUUUCCUACGUACGAAGACAAUUGAAGUCACAUGAGCAAAACUAUCAUACGCACGACUUCAAAGUUGCUGCGAUAGUUCAUGCACUAAAAAUUUGGAGCAAAACUACCAUACGCAUGACUUAGAACUUGUUACGGUAGUCCAUACACUAAAAAUUUGGAGGCAUUACCAUUUAUGAAGGUAAGUGUGACAUUUAUACAGACCACAAGGCCUCAAGUACAUCUUCACUCAGAAGGAGUUGAACAUGAGACAGAAAGGAUGGCUUGAGUUGGUAAAAGAUUACGAUUGCAACAUUCACUAUCACCUAGUGAAGGCAAAUGUUGUAGAAGACGCCUUGAGUCGUAAAGUGAAAAGUCAGGUGGCGACCUUGACCAUAUAAGAACCUUUAUUGAAAGAGUUUGAGAGAUUAAACCUUGAAGUGGUCACAACACCGUCAAGUGCUAUUGCUCAGAUGACAACACUUUCAAUUCAACCAACACUCCGUGAUAGGAUUAAGGACAGUCAGAAAGCCGAUCAGUGAUUUGAAUUCAUUAAGUCAGAGAUUGAUAAAAGAAGCAAAAAGAUUUCACAAUGGAUAAGGACAAGAUCUCAUAUUAUCAAGGAUGCUUAUGCGUACUUGACUUCAAGGAGUUGAAGAACCAAAUAUCAGAAGAGAUUCACUUCACUCCUUAUUCAGUACAUCUAGGAGGUAUAAAGAUGUAUCGAGACCUUAAGGAAGUAUUUUGGUGGAAAGUGAUGAAGAGAGAUAUAGCCGAGUAUGUUGAAUGGUGUUUAGUAUGUCAACAAGUGAAAGCGGAACACUAACAGCCAUCAGGGUUACUUGAACCGUUAGAAGUUUCGGAAUGAAAAUAGAACCAUGUAAUUAUGGACUUUGUGGUCGAUUUUCUAAGGUCAACAAGGGGUAAUGAGGCUAUUUGGGUCAAUGUGGAUCGACUUACCAAAUCGGCUCAUUUUUUGCCAGUUCGGUUGACAUUAUCAAUGGAUCAAUUGGCAUAGUUGUAUGUGAAUAAGAUAUUAAGGUUACAUGGUGUAUUUGUUUCAAUUGUAUCAGAUAGAGAUCCAAGGUUCACAUCGAACUUUCUGUAAAAGCCUGCACCAAGCUAUGGAAACUAAGCUAAAAUUUAGCACGGCUUUUUACCCUUAAAUAGAUGUUGGGUUUGAGGGAACGAUUCAAACACUGGAAGAUAUGCUUCGAACAUGUGUCCUCGAGUUUAAAGGACAUUGGGUGUAACAUUUACCCUUGAUUGGGUUCGGAUACAGCAACAACUAUCACGUCUCUAUUGCCAUGGCACCAUAUGAGGCAUUAUAUGGGAGGAAGUGUAGAUCACCAGUUCAUUGAGGUGAGAUCGGUGAACGAAAGAUUUUAGGGCCAGAGAUCAUUGAACAAACAGUGCAGGCUAUUAAGAAAAUUCGAGCUAGUAUGAACUUUGUCCAGGAUAACCAAAAGAGUUAUGCUGACAGAAGAAGUAAGAAAUUGAAAUUUUUGGCAGGUGACACAGUAUUUUUUAAGGUUGCACCAAUGAAAUGGGUAUUAUGUUUUGGUAAGAAAUGAAAAUUGCGACCAAGAUUCAUUGGUCUGUUUGAAAUCUUGCAACAUAUUGAAAAUGUCACGUAUUAGUUGGCUUUAGCCCCAUAACUUUCAACUGUGCAUGACGUCUUUCAUGUGUCAAAGCUUUGAAAGUACGUCCCUGAUCCAAAUUUUGUAGUCAACCACCAGUUCAUUGAUUUACAACGAGGUUUGAACUAUGAGAAAGUUCUAAUAAGGGUCAUUAAUAAGAAAUUUCAAGUACUUAGAAAUAGGGUGAUACCCUUAGUAAAAGUACAAUGGCGCAAUCAGUCCAUCGAAGAGGCAACUUAGGAGAGAGAGGUAGAGAUGCGAGCUAAGUAUCCUCAAAUCUUCCACGAAUUUCAAGGUAAAUUUCGAGGACGAAAUUUAUUAUUAAGAUGAUAGAUUGUAAUACCCAUACUUAGUGCCUAAUUGCAAUUUAGGUUUGGCCCAUUAUAAAAAAAAUUUGAAAAAUAGACAUGAUUAAUAUUUUUGCCCGACCAAUCACAUGGAAGUCCAUUAGGUGAAAUUAUAGGCCAACCUUUUUGUUUUAUUUUUCUUUUUGACCUUAAACCCAAGUUGUUAAAAUUUUAUAUAAUUUUUAUUAAAUAAUGGAGAUAAUGUUUUAAUUUUAUUUUCAUUUAGUUAGAUUGAAAUUUUAAAUAAUUGAGAUAAAAAUCAAAUGAAUAUUAAGAUAAUACUUUAAUGUAUUUAUAUUUUAUUUAAUGCUAAAUGAUAAUUGAGAUAAUGUUUCAAUGUUAUUUCUUUCAAUUAAAAUUGAAAUAUUAAAUCAUAUAGACAAUAUUUUGAUUUAUCUAUACUUUAUUUAAUUUUAGAAAUUAAGAGGAUAAUUUAUUGUUUUUUAAAUUCAUUGUCUUAUCCUGUUAGCUGAAAUAUUGUUGAGACAAUAAUAAGAUUUUGUCACUUCUAAGAUUCAAGUUUCAAUUAAAUUAGAACUCUUAAAGCAUGUUGGUUUCUAUAAAUAGACAUCAUAUGUCCCAUUUUCAAGUACAUUCAUUUCUCUUUAAAAUGCACACAAAUACAAAUAUAGUAUCUUCUUUAGUAUGUGGGCCAAGAGUUGAAAUUCCAAAUAUUCCAGUAUUUCUCUUAUCAUUUUCAUAAGAUAUAGUAGGUGUAUAAGUAUUUUCUUUAUACCACCUAUGUUCGGAAUAGAUUUUCAUGUCUCCCUUUGUAUGUAUGUAUGUAUGAAAUUCCUUAAAUUCUGUAAAAACAUUAAUCCAUGUACUUAUAUGCUUAUUGAGAUUUUGUAUUACACCCAUUUAUUUCUUUUCAGGAAAUAGAUGGUUCGUGGCAAUUAAGGCAUGAGAAGGAUGGCAAAUUGGCAAGUGAAAGAAAUCCACCAAGCUUUUAUUUUUUUUUAUUUAAGAACUUAUUUAACUAUUGGUUUGAUACUAAGAUUAUUAAACUUCUAGUAUUGUAUUUUAUGUUGACGUCAAAAUUUUAUGUAUUCAAUCUUAUAGUUUCAUGAAAUUAUUUGAAUAAAUUUCAAGCUAAUAGAAUCUAAGAUUUUAAAAGUACAAUAUAAUGUUUAAGAUAUGAUUUUAGUGGCACUUGAACUUUGGAACUCGGGUCUUUACAAACAUAAUCAACAAUAAUAUAAAAAUAAGAGGAGAUUUAGAAAAGAAAGCAUUAGAAGUCACGUCGAAGACGCUGUCCUAAAGUCGUCUUGCGUUCUCCUCGUGUGGGUUCUUUUGGUAUAAGGCUCCAGAUAAAACUCAUGUAGCUCACAAUUGAUUCUUCUUUUAUGGACACGAUCAUAGAAAGAUAAGUGAAUGAACAUUUAUCAAGUUGUCAAAAGUAUAAAAAUAUAGUAUGAAUAGUAUAAAAUAUAAUCCUUCAACUUGUCUUUUUCUAGUUCUUUCUUUUAAUGAAAUAUCACCUCAUCUUAUAGAUGAAUAUCAACCCCUCACAAUUAAACCAUUAAAAUAUAAGUUACCAUAUGAAUUAUGAUGUUUUUAACUUGUGUAAAACUGAAAAAUUUAAUAAAAAUAGAAAAUUAAGCGGUUUUAAUUUUGAAAGAUUGAAACUUAUUUUAAGUUACAAUAAUCCCCCACAAAUUUUAAAAUUUCAAAAUAAAUAUAUAGUAGCAACGUUAUGCUGUGUAAUGGGUAUAAGUAUCUUUUAGACUUGAACUUUACUCAAUGAUAAUAAUUUUCAUAAUGGACUAGGUAUUGAAUUAGGUUACUUUGGCUGAACUUCUAUUGUUCCAUAUACAGUAUUGAUUUAUGUUCUAGUUCAAAGCGGAAGCGCUCUUAAUGGCUAUAGGCUAUAAUCUUGAUUUUAAUAAGAGUCUUUAAGGAAUAGUCCAAUCCCAUAACUAGGGCAUCAUGUCAAUUCUUACAUAGGUGAGUUCUCCAAGAAUGUGUGUGACUCAUAAAUCAUGAAAAUUAUCGUUUCAGUACUCAUUCGGGGCUAAAUCCUUCCUAACAUCACAUUAUUAUUAGCACUAUCAUCAUCGGGAUGAGUAUAAAUUUUAUAGUGUUAUUACGAGUCAUGAAGUAUGAUUGUUUCUACCUCAUUGAACCUUUUUCAUGGGAUCUUCAAUCAUAAAUGUUGGGUUACUCAGAGGUGACUCCCUUAUGAGCUUAAGCCCAACCCUUUCCAUUUAUUAUGUCCAUUACAAACUAUCAUUUAUUUCAUGUCCCUCUUGGACAAUAAUUUGAUACAAUCAAUUUGCAAAACUUUUAUUCUUUACCUACAUAUCUACAAAAUCUUCUAAAAUUUCCAAAAUAUCAAUAUCACAUAUCUAAGUUUAGUAAGAUAAACACACGAAAUUUUAAUAUUGAUUUUAGUAAUACGUUUGAGCAGAUGCCUCUAUUCUACUCAUGUAUUUCACUUGCAAUCUUUAGAUUCAAGCCGAAUACUUAUCUUUAAUGUCAUGAUAAUUAUGAAUAAUCAUGGAUAAAGUACAUAUAUUCAAAAUUUUUAAUACCCCACAUUGCAAGGAUUUUAAACAUUCUCACUUGGACAACAUAUUGAACACAAUGAUACUCAUGUAUCGCAAAACAUUAGAUAAUAAGAAUUAACAUAACCAUAAAGUAUCAAAUAUGAUUUAACAAUAUUAAUCUAAGUAAACAUACUUUCAUAGUAAUAAAAUAAACCUUGGAUACAAAAUACUUGCAAUUUUGUAUUCCAAAUUAGUUGAACAUCGUGUCAAAAUUUAAUUAGACUAUGAAGUAAUUUUCAAAUAUAGUACAUCAAAUAUUCCGCAAAAGAAAUAUUGUUUUGAUUAAGCACAAUCACGUGAACUUCUAGCAAAUAUAGAAUAUAACUCAAAUUCAUCGUUCAUCCAAAUUCAUUUUAAUAACUUAAAAUUUUGACGACUCAUAUAAAAUUUAAAAUAAAUAAGUGCCAAAUAAAUUAUUAUAAUUAUUAAGAUUUGAAGCUUUCCAAGCUUAAAUCAAAAUGAAUCAUACUACAUGGUAGUAUUUAUUUUUCACAUCAAAAUAUGAGUCACAUAACUAAAUUGAAUAAUAAUAAAUUACUAUUACUUACUGGAGUUACAAUUUAGGUUUUCUAAAAUAUUAAUUAAUUACAUUAUUAAAGGUUAAAUCUUUUAACCAUUUGUUCAAAAUAAAAUUCAUGGAAUUCUCAUGUAAUCAAUAUAAUUCAACCAAUUCAUGUGCAUGACUACAUACUAGUUUUGGUCAUAUAAUAUAUGAUGAUAACAUCGCACUGAGCAGGCUAGAAUUUGUAUUACAACUUCAGUGUAACUAUUCACAUUAAAAUUAGAGAUAAUGCCAAAAAAUUGGCAAUCUUAUCUGAUUAUGAUCCACCAAAUCAUGUUGCUGCAACAUAAGUGGAGUAUAUGCGUUCGAUACAUACUCUCAUGUUUUGCUAAAUGUAUUCCGGUAGAUCAACAAAAGAGGAAAAGCGUACUGCAACAUAGAUAUACAUGUAUUCGAGAAAUUCGUUAAAGUUCAGACAGCAAACGAGGUUUUUAUUAGUUAUAAAUUCCACUUUCUAGAGUUGUUUAUUUUUAGGAAAAUCUGUUGUAUAUUCUUAAUAAGCACGGUUCUUGGCCAAAUAUGUUUCAACAUUUUUAGAAGUUCGACAAUAUCAUCUCGAUAACCAAUCUAGAACGGUACUGUACUUGAAAUCUUGAACAACAGGAUUAUUAAAUGUGAUCUUAGUAUCACGACAUGCAAAUCUAUGGUGCUACAAAGUGCAGUAGAAACUUUUGGAAUGCAUGUGAACCUUAAAAAAUUAAAUUACGAACAUUUGAUCUUCCCACCACCCCAAUUGAACAAACCAAUACAGAAGAACUUCAUGGUAAUCACACAGCAAUUGAAACUCGAGAAAUUUCCUCUUUCUAUGCCACUAGCGUUAUUUUCUUGACAAUUCUUUCGCUACGAACCUUCGGAAUUUUAUUUUAUAAGUGGAAAGUUUUAAUUCCUUUAACCCUUUAAGCACAUGAAAUGAAACAACCAAAGUAACCUACUUAUAAUUACCCUCUUUUGAAAGUCUAUCGUUGAGGAAUGAAAGGAGGGACGGAAGGGAAGCAUCCGAAUUUAGGAUGGUGGAAUGGAGCCUGGAGGAAGCUUGGGGUGUGGAGGGGUGGGUUUCUUGUAGAAUGGUGGGAGUGGUUUAUGAAUUGGACUUGGUGAUGGAAGUGGCUUUACUAUUGGAGGGAUGUAUAUUGGUGGCUUUGGCUUGUAGAUUGGAACGGGUGGUGGAAGUGGCUUUACUAUCGGAGGUUUGAAAACUGGUGGCUUUGGCUUUGGUUUGUAGAUAGGGGCUGGUGGUGGAAUUGGCUUUAUCACCGGAGGUUUGUAAACUGGUGGCUUUGGUUUGUAGAUUGGAACUGGUGGUGGAAGCGGCUUUACCACCGGAGGUUUGUAAAUUGGUGGCUUUGGCUUUGGUUUGUACAUUGGAACUGGUGGUGGAAGUGGCUUUACCACCGGAGGUUUGUAAACUGGUGGCUUUGGCUUUGGUUUGUAUAUUGGAGUUGGUGGUGGAAGCGGCUUUACUACCGGAGGUUUGCAAACUGGUGGCUUUGGAGGCUUGCAACCUGGUGGCGGCUUCGGAGGUUUGCAACCUGGUGGGGGCUUAGGAGGCUUGCAACCUGGUGGGGGCUUCGGAGGCUUGCAACCUGGUGGGAGCUUCGGAGGCUUGCAACCUGGUGGUGGCUUUGGAGGCUUGCAACCUGGUGGGGGCUUUGGAGGCUUGCAACCUGGUGGUGGUUUUGGAGGCUUGCAACCUGGUGGGGGCUUUGGAGGCUUGCAACCAGGCUUUGGCUUUGUUUUGUAGAUUGGAAUUGGAGGUGGAAGCGGCUUUACUGGAGGCUCUGGCUUGUAAAUGGGGACGGGAGGAGGAAGUGGCUUUGGCUUGUAAAUGGGGACAGGAGGAGGAUGUGGUUUUGG